GAUGAANCGCUAGCGGCAGGCUUAACACAUGCAAGUCGAGGGGUAGAGGGUGCUUGCAUCCUUGAGACCGGCGCACGGGUGCGUAACGCGUAUGCAACCUACCUUGAACAGGGGAAUAGCCCAGAGAAAUUUGGAUUAAUGCCCCAUGGUAUUUAGAAGCGGCAUCGCUUUUUCAUUAAAGAUUUAUCGGUUCAAGAUGGGCAUGCGUCCCAUUAGUUAGUUGGUAAGGUAACGGCUUACCAAGACGAUGAUGGGUAGGGGUCCUGAGAGGGAGAUCCCCCACACUGGUACUGAGACACGGACCAGACUCCUACGGGAGGCAGCAGUGAGGAAUAUUGGUCAAUGGGCGCAAGCCUGAACCAGCCAUGCCGCGUGCAGGAUUAAGGCCCUAUGGGUUGUAAACUGCUUUUGUACGGGAAGAAACA
rnacentral:rRNA from 1 species